AUGCUUGAUCUCCAGGCAUUUGAACAAAGAGCCUUUAAUUUUAUUGGCAUAUUUAAUAAGAGCGUUCCAGUCAAGCAUCAAAUGAAUAUCUUAUCCAUCUUUUCCACUUGUUGUGGAACCCUUUAUUUGAGGAGACUAACUGUUCUCAACAAAGCACCAAAGUCACAGAAAAUAACAAGAAAUUCAACAAACAGGGAUAUGUCUGUUUCCACCAAAGUAUUGUAUGGCACUUCAGACAAGAUGGGAACUUGA